CUCUGUGCAGGCACUCUUGUGAGACUGGGGUGUUGUUGUAAGGCCUUAAAAUGGGAACAAAAAGUCCGUUAUUACGGUGGAUGUUCUGGACAAUGGUCACCCUGGGAGUUUUCUUCUUAGGAUAUAUCAUAGGCUGGUUUGCGAAGCCUGCACAUCCAAACACUGAAAAUCAGAAAGACUCCAGCAAGUUCCUGAAGGAUUUUUUAGAAGAAAUGAAAGCAGAAAACAUAAGAAAGCAUCUGAGGUCAUUCACACAGCUCCCUCACUUGGCUGGAACCGAGCAGAACCUGAAAUAUGCCGAGCAGAUCCAAAAAGAGUGGCAGGACUUUGGGCUGGACUCUGUAGAGCUGGUGCACUACGAUGUCCUGCUGUCCUAUCCCAACAAAACACAGCCAAAUUACAUCUCCAUAGUGGAUUCACUGGGAAAUGAGAUUGUCAAUACAUCUUUGGCUGAGCCUGUUCCAGAAGGCUAUGAAAACAUUUCAAACAUUGUGCCCCCAUAUAGUGCAUUUUCAGCUAAAGGAAAACCAGAGGGCGAAUUGGUCUAUGUCAAUUAUGGCAGGACAGAAGACUUUUUCCAGCUGGAGAGACAAAUGGGAAUAAAUGUAACAGGAAAAAUUGUAAUAGUCAGAUAUGGAAAAAUAUUCCGGGGCAAUAAGGUGAAAAAUGCUAUGUUAUCAGGAGCAAAAGGCCUCAUCAUGUUUUCUGACCCAGCAGACUACUGUGCUGAUGGAGUACAAGCUUACCCAGAGGGCUGGAAUUUGCCCGGAGGAGGAGCUCAGAGAGGAAAUGUGCUAAACUUGAAUGGAGCAGGUGACCCCCUGACACCUGGAUACCCUGCAAAAGAAUACACAUACAGAUCCAAACUUGAGGAAGGAGUUGGACUAUCCAAGAUCCCUGUGCAUCCCAUAGGAUACCAUGAUGCAAUUCACUUGCUAAAGAACAUGGGAGGACAGAUUCCACCCAACAACUGGAAGGGAGCUCUGAAUGUCUCAUACAGGAUUGGACCAGGAUUCAUCAAUGAAUAUAAAAAUUUUACGGUGCGUUUAAACAUCCACACCAACAGCCAGGUAAUGAGGAUCUACAAUGUCAUCGGCAAGAUUAGAGGCAGUCUUGAACCAGACAGAUAUGUUAUUCUGGGUGGACACAGAGAUGCCUGGGUCUUUGGAGCCAUCGAUCCCAUGUCUGGUGCUGCAGUAGUUCAUGAGGCUGUGAGGAGUGCUGGCUGCCUGCUCAGUAGAGGAUGGAGACCUCGGAGAACUAUAAUAUUUGCCAGCUGGGAUGCAGAGGAAUUUGGCCUCCAGGGGUCAACAGAGUGGGCGGAGGAUAAUGCCAAACUGCUCCAAGAGAGAGCUGUAGCUUAUAUCAAUGCUGACUCUGCUAUAGAAGGUAUGUAUACACUGAGGGUAGACUGCACACCUUCUCUUUACACGCUUGUAUAUGACAUAACAAAGCAGAUUGGCAGUCCAGAGGAAGGAGAAGAGGGAAUGUCUCUAUAUGAAAGCUGGCAUAAAAAAGACAACUGGACAAGCUACCGUGAUGCACCCAGAAUAAGUAAGCUGGGCUCAGGCAGUGACUUUGAGGCUUACUUCAUCCGUCUCGGAAUUGCUGCCGGUCGAGCCAGGUACACCAAAAAUCAGAAAACUGAACGCUACAGCAGUUAUCCAGUGUACCACAGUGUGUAUGAAACCUUUGAGAUUGUGGAGAGGUUCUAUGACCCCUCCUUCAGACGACUAGAAGCAGUGGCUCGGGUCCGUGGAGGGCUAGUAUUCUUAUUGGCUGAUUCUGUGCUCCUACCUCUCAGUGCCAAAGAAUAUGCAGACUCACUCAAUACAUACGCACUGAUCAUCUCACAAAUCGCAGAAAAACACCCAGAGCAAAUGCAGAAAUAUGAAGUGUCAUUUGAUUCACUUUUUUCAGCAGUUGGAAACUUUACAGCAGCAGCCAAUGAUUUCCAUGAGAGGUUACAGUCUUUGAAUACAGCAGAUCCUUUGCAGGUCCGCAUAGUGAAUGAUCAGCUCAUGUACUUGGAACGUGCAUUCAUAGACCCUUUAGGUUUACCAGGCAGACCAUUUCACAGGCAUGUUAUUUUCGCUCCCAGUAGCCACAACAAGUAUGCCGGCGAGUCUUUCCCAGGAAUCUAUGAUGCAUUGUUUGACAUUGAAAAUGCAGCUGACCCAGAUAAGUCCUGGGAUGAAGUCAAGCGUCAAAUCAGCAUAGCCUCAUUCACAGUCCAUGCAGCGGCCAUGACGCUCACAUCACCAGCAUGAAGAGACCACUCACUUUGGACUAUAUGUAACAUUCAAAAAUGUAAAAUAGCAGCCACAUUAAAAGUGUAUAUCAUUUUUGUAUUAACCCUUUAAUGUUCUGCUCAACCAUUUGGUAGAUCACAUUUUGAGUCACUAUAUCUUAUUGGGAAAUGUGUUGAACUGAACUCAACCUGAUUGGAUAAUCUCAACCACUUGGUUGAAGUAUGCUAUGCAUGAAAUAACCUUUAGAGGGCACUCUAUUUUUUGACAGUAGGACUUUUCACUCAUCGUGACUCUAGCAAGUUAAAAACAGAAAAAUCACUUCUAACAUAUGCACAACUUCUGGCUGCAUUUUUAAAGCGGGAUCCUGAUUAUCUGCCCAAACAAGUAGAGGUGAUCGGCGACCUUUCCACUGAAUUUAUGGAUGAAGAGGAGAUGCCCUCUACAAGCACAUCUGCUAAGAAGAAGAAAAAAAGAGAAAAACACCUUAAAACAAAGUAAUGGAAGAGCUGGAUGAGGCCCCUGUGUCACCCCCAUGCACAAAGAAGAAAAAAAUGGCUGAAAAGAAAGAAAACGAAUCCAGGAGAAUCUGGAAGCAUGUAGAUAUUGAUGAAUUCCAGGUUCCUGAUUCAAGUUUCUGGGGUACAAAACCCCAGCCAAAUAACAACACUGGUACUUCCCCCUGUUUGGAUACGCCCUUGACCUGUGCAUUUCCAAUUCUUGGUUUGUCUACAAGGGAGACUGUGACCUACUGAAGGAAAAAACAAUGCCUCUCAAAAUGUUUCACCUGGCUGUGGCCCACAGUUUGAAACAAGUCAACAAGCCAGCACCUAGAGUUGGUCAGCCAUCAUCUGCUUGUCCACCAUAAAUGUCCUGUGAGAAGAAACACCUCCCCCCAAGACCCCCACGGCCACAACCAGACAUACGCUAUGACAACUAUGGACAUUGGCCACUUCACACUGACAACCAGGGACGGUGCAGCCUCUGCCCAAAGGGUGUGUCAAGAUGGAAAUGUGAGAAGUGCAAUGUUUUCCUGUGCUUGAUCGGAGUGAGGGAAUGCUUUGUAGCGUAUCAUCAAAAAUAAUGUGCCGAGGGUUACCACUGGUUACCAUUAUUUAGUUUGAGAGAUUUGUAUCCUUUUUGAAUUUGUUCAAUGCAAGAAAAUAAGUUCUUUGAAGAUUUUACACAGCACAACUGAGAAGUUGGAUAGGUCCUCAGGUGUUCUUUUUUAUUAUUUUAAGACAGGGGAAAUACAUAAAUGCCCCAUAUGUUUUUGAAAGUACUAUUGUCACAUAAGUAUUGGAAUUUUAUGCAGAAAAUGGGAGCGAAAUUCAUUUGUUGGAAUGAAAUUUAAUUGACAUGAAUUGUUUUCUGGUAUUUUUAUGUUUUCUACUUUCUUUUUUGUACUUCUAGUUAUUAAAUAAUAAUUUUAUUGAUAAUAUACAUUUAUAGAUAUGUAUUACAUACUUUUACCAUCAAGCACCACCUCGACCAUUUGGUAGAGGCAUAUAUUUUUAAAACUGGGGGGUCUAUAUAUUUUUUUUUAAUUUAUUUUUGUUAUUAGUGACCCAAUAACUUAAAAAGCACAAAAAAAUAAUUUUUAAAUAGUUUUUUUCUUGGAGUGAACAUUAAAGGGUUAAAAUUGUUUUUUAGGUCUUGUUCCUUGUAUUUUAAAAUGAU